GGCCGUACUACACCAUUCUAUUAUGUAGGUUUGCAUAUAAAACCUUUAAUUUAUCUGGACAACAAUGUUACGGUUGAUUUCUACUUUUUCGAGUUCCUUUCGAAUGUGUACAAACGUGGUUUCAUUGAGAUGCACUUCAAAUUCUGCGAUCUGAUCCAUAAAGACAAAUUCUUUGGAGCUCCUAUGAAGCAAGGAAGGUUUUUACAGCCGUGUCCAUAUCCACCGGGAGAAUAUCAUUUAUACAACAUGACCAUUAACCAUCUGUCCAUUCCACGCAGUUUUCCAUUCAAUAAAGGACGUAUUUAUUGCAAUGUCUCAUAUUUUAAGAGGUUGAUUGCAGCUGGGUACAUUGACAUGGAA